GAUGAACGCUGGCGGCGUGCCUAAUACAUGCAAGUCGAGCGAACAGACGAGGAGCUUGCUCCUCUGACGUUAGCGGCGGACGGGUGAGUAACACGUGGAUAACCUACCUAUAAGACUGGGAUAACUUCGGGAAACCGGAGCUAAUACCGGAUAAUAUAUUGAACCGCAUGGUUCAAUAGUGAAAGACGGUUUUGCUGCCACUUAUAGAUGGAUCCGCGCCGCAUUAGCUAGUUGGUAAGGUAACGGCUUACCAAGGCAACGAUGCGUAGCCGACCUGAGAGGGUGAUCGGCCACACUGGAACUGAGACACGGUCCAGACUCCUACGGGAGGCAGCAGUAGGGAAUCUUCCGCAAUGGGCGAAAGCCUGACGGAGCAACGCCGCGUGAGUGAUGAAGGUCUUCGGACCGUAAAACUCUGUUAUUAGGGAAGAACAAAUGUGUAAGUAACUAUGCACGUCUUGACGGUACCUAAUCAGAAAGCCACGGCUAACUACGUG
rnacentral:rRNA from 1 species